rnacentral:rRNA from 1 species
UACGUAGGUGGCAAGCGUUGUCCGGAUUUACUGGGCGUAAAGGGCGUGCAGGCGGUUUGUUAAGUGCAGGGUGAAAGCCCCCGGCUCAACUGGGGAGGGUCACGCGAUACUGAUCGACUCGAAGGCAGGAGAGGGUAGUGGAAUUCCCGGUGUAGUGGUGAAAUGCGUAGAUAUCGGGAGGAACACCAGAGGCGAAGGCGGCCUACUGGGCUGCACCUGACGCUGAGCCGCGAAAGCCAGGGGAGCGAACGGG